GACAGAGGUGCCGAGCGUUAGGCGGAAUCACUGGGCUUAAAGGGCGCGUAGGCGGGCGGCCGCGUCCGGGGUGAAAUCCCACGGCUCAACCGUGGAACGGCCUCGGAUACGGGCGGCCUCGAGGGGGGUAGGGGCAUCUGGAACUGUGAGUGGAGCGGUGAAAUGCGUUGAUAUUCACAGGAACUCCGGUGGCGAAGGCGAGGUGCUGGACCCCAUCUCGACGCUGAGGCGCGGAAAGCCAGGG
rnacentral:rRNA from 1 species